AUUCUACUCCCUCCGUUCCACAAUACAUGUCUUCUAUUUGUCAAAAUAUAGAUGUAUCUAGACAUGUUUUAGUAUAUAGGUACAUCCAUUUUUGGACAAAUGGAAGUCAAGUAUUUUGGAAUGGAGGGAGUACACA
rnacentral:pre_miRNA from 1 species